rnacentral:rRNA from 1 species
AAUGAAAGUGGCGAACGGGUGAGUAACACGUGAGCAACCUACCUUACACAGGGGGAUAGCCGUUGGAAACGACGAUUAAUACCGCAUGAGACCACAGAAUCGCAUGAUAUAGGGGUCAAAGAUUUAUCGGUGUAAGAAGGGCUCGCGUCUGAUUAGCUAGUUGGAAGGGUAAAGGCCUACCAAGGCGACGAUCAGUAGCCGGUCUGAGAGGAUGAACGGCCACAUUGGAACUGAGACACGGUCCAAACUCCUACGGGAGGCAGCAGUGGGGAAUAUUGCACAAUGGGGGGAACCCUGAUGCAGCGACGCCGCGUGAGCGAAGAAGGUUUUCGAAUCGUAAAGCUCUGUCCUAUGAGAAGAUAAUGACGGUAUCAUAGGAGGAAGCCCCGGCUAAAUACGUGCCAGCAGCCGCGGUAAUACGUAUGGGGCAAGCGUUGUCCGGAAUUAUUGGGCGUAAAGGGUACGUAGGCGGUUUUUUAAGUCAGGUGUGAAAGCGUGAGGCUUAACCUCAUUAAGCACUUGAAACUGGAAGACUUGAGUGAAGGAGAGGAAAGUGGAAUUCCUAGUGUAGCGGUGAAAUGCGUAGAUAUUAGGAGGAAUACCGGUGGCGAAGGCGA